rnacentral:rRNA from 2 species
GCGGUGCGGCGUGCUAUACAUGCAGUCGAGCGAACAGAUGAGAAGCUUGCUUCUCUGAUGUUAGCGGCGGACGGGUGAGUAACACGUGGGUAACCUACCUAUAAGACUGGGAUAACUCCGGGAAACCGGGGCUAAUACCGGAUAAUAUUUUGAACCGCAUGGUUCAAUAGUGAAAGACGGUUUCGGCUGUCACUUAUAGAUGGACCCGCGCCGUAUUAGCUAGUUGGUAAGGUAACGGCUUACCAAGGCGACGAUACGUAGCCGACCUGAGAGGGUGAUCGGCCACACUGGAACUGAGACACGGUCCAGACUCCUACGGGAGGCAGCAGUAGGGAAUCUUCCGCAAUGGGCGAAAGCCUGACGGAGCAACGCCGCGUGAGUGAUGAAGGUCUUCGGAUCGUAAAACUCUGUUGUUAGGGAAGAACAAAUUUGUUAGUAACUGAACAAGUCUUGACGGUACCUAACCAGAAAGCCACGGCUAACUACGUGCCAGCAGCCGCGGUAAUACGUAGGUGGCAAGCGUUAUCCGGAAUUAUUGGGCGUAAAGCGCGCGUAGGCGGUUUCUUAAGUCUGAUGUGAAAGCCCACGGCUCAACCGUGGAGGGUCAUUGGAAACUGGGAAACUUGAGUGCAGAAGAGGAGAGUGGAAUUCCAUGUGUAGCGGUGAAAUGCGCAGAGAUAUGGAGGAACACCAGUGGCGAAGGCGGCUCUCUGGUCUGUAACUGACGCUGAUGUGCGAAAGCGUGGGGAUCAAACAGGAUUAGAUACCCUGGUAGUCCACGCCGUAAACGAUGAGUGCUAAGUGUUAGGGGGUUUCCGCCCCUUAGUGCUGCAGCUAACGCAUUAAGCACUCCGCCUGGGGAGUACGACCGCAAGGUUGAAACUCAAAGGAAUUGACGGGGACCCGCACAAGCGGUGGAGCAUGUGGUUUAAUUCGAAGCAACGCGAAGAACCUUACCAAAUCUUGACAUCCUUUGACCGCUCUAGAGAUAGAGUCUUCCCCUUCGGGGGACAAAGUGACAGGUGGUGCAUGGUUGUCGUCAGCUCGUGUCGUGAGAUGUUGGGUUAAGUCCCGCAACGAGCGCAACCCUUAAGCUUAGUUGCCAUCAUUAAGUUGGGCACUCUAGGUUGACUGCCGGUGACAAACCGGAGGAAGGUGGGGAUGACGUCAAAUCAUCAUGCCCCUUAUGAUUUGGGCUACACACGUGCUACAAUGGAUAAUACAAAGGGCAGCGAAUCCGCGAGGCCAAGCAAAUCCCAUAAAAUUAUUCUCAGUUCGGAUUGUAGUCUGCAACUCGACUACAUGAAGCUGGAAUCGCUAGUAAUCGUAGAUCAGCAUGCUACGGUGAAUACGUUCCCGGGUCUUGUACACACCGCCCGUCACACCACGAGAGUUUGUAACACCCGAAGCCGGUGGAGUAACCUUUUAGGAGCUAGCCGUCGAAGGUGGGACCC